AGCGAACGCUGGCGGCAGGCCUAACACAUGCAAGUCGAGCGCCCCGCAAGGGGAGCGGCAGACGGGAGAGUAACACGUGGGAACGUACCCUUCAGUUCGGAACAACCCAGGGAAACUUGGGCUAAUACCGAAUACGUCCGUAAGGAGAAAGAUUUAUCGCUGAAGGAUCGGCCCGCGUCCGAUUAGCUAGUUGGUGAGGUAACGGCUCACCAAGGCGACGAUCGGUAGCUGGUCUGAGAGGAUGAUCAGCCUCACUGGGACUGAGACACGGCCCCGACUCGUACGGGAGGCAGCAGUGGGGAAUAUUGGACAAUGGGCGCAAGCCUGAUCUAGCCAUGCCGCGUGGAUGAUGAAGGCCCUAGGGUUGUAAAGUCCUUUCGGCGGGGAAGAUAAUGACGGUACCCGCAGAAGAAGCCCCGGCUAACUUCGUGCCAGCCGCCGCGGUAA
rnacentral:rRNA from 1 species